GGCAGCAGUGGGGAAUAUUGCACAGUGGGCGGAAGCCUGAUGCAGCGACGCCGCGUGAGGGAUGACGGCCUUCGGGUUGUAAACCUCUUUCAGCAGGGACGAAGCGCAAGUGACGGUGCCUGCAGAAGAAGCACCGGCCAACUACGUGCCAGCAGCCGCGGUAAGACGUAGGGUGCGAGCGUUGUCCGGAUUUAUUGGGCGUAAGGAGCUCGUAGGCGGCUUGUCGCGUCGACCGUGAAAACCCGCAGCUUAACCUCAAGCCUGCGGUCGAUACGGGCAGGCUAGAGUUCGGUAGGGGAGACUGGAAUUCCUGGUGUAGCGGUGAAAUGCGCAGAUAUCAGGAGGAACACCGGUGGCGAAGGCGGGUCUCUGGGCCGAUACUGACGCUGAGGAGCGAAAGCGUGGGGAGCGAACAGGAUUAGAUACCCUGGUAGUCCACGCUGUAAACGUUGGGCGCUAGGUGUGGGGGGCCUCUCCGGUUCUGUGCCGCAGCUAACGCAUUAAGCGCCCCGCCUGGGGAGUACGGCCGCAAGGCUAAAACUCAAAGGAAUUGACGGA
rnacentral:rRNA from 1 species